UGAUUAUAAACUAAUGUAUAAUUUACCAGAGUACUAUGAACACACAGUUUAAAACUCAAAGGGCUUGGCGGUGCUUUAGACUAUUCAGGGGAACCUGUCUCGUAAUCGAUAGUCCACGAUACACCUAACCUUUUUUAGUUAUCAGUAUGUAUACCGUCGUCGUCAGGUAACUUUUAAAAAUAAAGAAGUUAGCGAUAAAAAUUAUGAUAAUUUUGUACGUCAGAUCAAGGUGCAGCUUAUAGAAAGGUGAGGAUGGGUUACAAUUAAGAUUUAUAAUAACGGAAAAAAGCUUGAUACAGCUUUUAAUG
rnacentral:rRNA from 1 species